rnacentral:lncRNA from 1 species
GUUCUGUAGCAUUUUCCAUGUAUAUUAGUCCCUUCCUCAGCUAGAUUUUGACCUUACUGAUGGCAGACUAUAUUUUCUAUUUUAAGAGUUUGCCAUAGCCACUAGGACAAUGACACACACAUAAUAAGUGCUUUAUAAAUAUUUGUGGAGUGCAUGAAUGACGGAAUUAUAGGCAAUUAAGACAAGGUUGCAUAUAGCUGUGUGGCAUCGCUAUACACAAGGGAGUGGCAAUAACUUAAGUGAGAUAGCAAAGGCCUGGAUAAGAUAAAAAAGAAAUAGAUUCAGGAAGUGGGUUAUAAAAUAGGCAACAGUUAUAAAGUGUUUAUUAUUUGAAGUAACUUUAGAGGUAUUUGCUCCUUUUUUUUUUUUUUUGAGACAGUGCAGUGGUGCAAUUAUAGAUUACUAUAACCUUGAACUUCUGAGCUCAGCCAUCCUCCCAUCUCAGCCUCCCAAAGUGCUGAGAUUACAAGCAUGAGUCACCAUGCCCAGCCUACUCUUUACAACAACAAUCCUAUGAGGUAGGUACUACUAUCAUCCCUACUUUAUAGAUGAAAUGCAAAUAGAUAAAUAAUUUAACAUCACCCAGCCAGGAAGUGGUUGUGUCAAAAGCUCAUGCAGUUUUGUUCUGCCCUUGCCUGUAUAGGAUCCAAAGAUAGUCUGAGCAACCACAUGGAUGUUAAGAGUACAAGACAACAAAGAUUUGAAGGUUACAACAAAAAUCCUUGAUUGAAAUAUGUUUUUAUUUUUAUUUUUUAGUGAUAGGGUCUCACUCCAUUGUCCUCACUAUUUAAUCUCAAACUCCUGGGCUCAAGCAAUCCUCCUGCCUCAGCCUCCCAAGUAGCUAGGACUACAGGCACACAUCUCCACACCUGGCUAAUUUUUUUAAAACAUUUUUUGUCGAGAUGGGGUAUUGUUAUGUUGCACAGAAUGGUCUCAAACUCCUGGCCUCAAGCGAGGCCUCAGCCUCCCAAAGUGGUGGGAUUACAGGCAUGAUUAAAAUAUUAGGGCUGAGUGCAG